GGAGCUUCCCCGGUGAGGAUGGGAUUCUUGGAGCUUCUGUGCUUAGUCUACAAGUUUAAGGAGAGAUCUCCUUGGCCCCUUCCCCCUACCUCUCUGUUAGAUCCUGUCUUUGUCCGCACCUACCCUCGUAGAGUCUUCAACAAUAGAAUCCCAUGGGGAGCUAUUUUGGACCCUCUUUUCAUCUCUCAUUCUCCACGUUAGAGUUUUCAAACUGUGGGUAGCAACUCACUGGCAGGUCAUGAAAUCACCACAGCAGGUUGUGCCCAGCACCAGGAGAAAGAACAGAGUAUCCCUGAACGUUCCCCGUGGUAGAGGUAAAUGUGGAACCCAUCUCUCCUCAAGCCUUUUGCGGGGUCAUGGCACGCCCUCUGGUGGCCCAUCUCUUUCAAUGGCUUUACCUGCCCCGAUGAGCAAUCUUUCAGAAGCCGUCUCCUGGCUUGCUCAAUCCCCAAAUCAAGCCCCUGGCAUCCCCCAACAGAAGGAUAUUGGAUGAUUGCAAGUCUUCUGAAGUUUCCUGAUUCAGCCUCCAAGGGCCAUGAAUUUAAGAAACUUCAACAAAAAUGUCAUUCUGUUUUCAGGAUUUAUAGAUUUGGGGGAAAUUUUGCUUUCUGGGUGGAGACGAAGGAGGGAAGAAAGAAGGCUCAAAAGCAUUUCUCAGAUUUCCUGAAAUAGUGAUGGAGACUCCGCACCCUCGAGGCUUCCUUUUUCUCUAGAAAAACAAUGCUCCUGGUGUUUCCCAAGAGAGCCCAGAGGCUAGCCCUAAGCAAACAGAUGUCAAUGAUUCCACCCUCCAUUUUGCUGACCUGAGUCGCUGGAGCUUAAAGAAGAGGAAGUAAGUUACUUCAUGCGCACAUCCUGGUAACCUGUAGCCACAGGUCAAAUUUCACGAGAUCUGUUGAAAAUGACCAAAGACCAUCGUCUUGGAAAAAGAUUUGAGCAGCCAUUUUGUCUCAAGGAAGCUCCUUGAGUCCAGUGCAAAGUAGUUGCGGAUAUGUCUUGGUUGAGUAUGGCGUUUCCUUGAAAUACGCAGACCUUUCUGGAAAAGAUCACUGGGCAGAAGAAAGGAAGGUGCUUUGUGGUGAGGUAGAAACAGACAUCGCCUUUCAGCCCCAGCAGGUAUUAGCCCUCCGGCUGCACAGGAAAAGCCUGGAAAUCCCAGAGCACCAGCUUGGAAGUCCCACAUGCUACAUAUUUGCUUGAGCAUUUUUAUGCUCGUAUCAACAC